UGCUGCACAGAAAAACACUCCAUCAUCUUGUAGAGAGAGAUUCGAGAUGCUCACGGAUACAUUCGACCUUCCAUCUCCAUUCAGGGCAAUCCUCUGCUGCUCAGUGCACAAAAAUAUACUGCUGUGCCCUCAGAGAUUGCUCUUUCUUCUUCGUUGUGUGUGAUGGAGACUGAUUGACAUUCACAGCCACGGAGAACCUUAAGAAUUGUCAUGAAAAUAACAAUUAUUUUUACUGUACAUUAUUUCACACUUCAUAAUAAAAACAGAUAAUGAAGUUAAUGCAGGAUAUAUAUUAGAAUGGACAUCAGCAUACCAGUCAGCCAGAGAAGACAGAGAGCAAAUCUUCUGACACUAAGCAUGUUCAAAGUCAUUGUCAUGGUAAGAAACACAGUGAGAGCAGCCUUCUUUAAAAUUGUGAGAACUUCCAAAAGAAGAGGGGAACUCACCUCAUCAGCAAUAAUGUCACCCUCAUGUGCUCAUAAGACCUUUGAUAACAUUUCUUGUUAACAUGACGUGUAGAACACAGAAAAAAAGAGGCACAUUCUCCCUUUUUAAAAUCUGUAUUUUCAUUUCAUUUUAUUUUUUAUCAAUUAAAGUUGCAUUGUGUAAGAUGCGGGCAUAGC